AAGGAGGCACAUUGAGAUCUUUGGCCAACUUUGCAGAUCCAUUCAUCACCUUGUUAAGCUCAGCAGCACACCAGCUAGCUUGACAAUCUAGUCAGACCACCUCUUAGCGGCAACAUUACUGAAAGAUAGAUAAUUAUUUAACACCUCUUAGAGCUUUCUUGCUUAAUCAAUGUGAUCCAAAGAUUCUAAAAUGAUCAAGGAUACCU
rnacentral:lncRNA from 1 species